rnacentral:snoRNA from 1 species
GCUACUUCAUGCUGACGUGAGGACAGAUGGUGCUACAUUUUGAGCAGAGGAAACCCAGGUAGGCUAUUUUCCAUUUAUCUUGGGAGCCUUCUCUACUACUCUGCCACAUUC